rnacentral:rRNA from 1 species
CUACGGGGUGCAGCAGUGAGGAAUCUUGCGCAAUGGGGGAAACCCUGACGCAGCGACGCCGCGUGGGUGAUGAAGGCCUUCGGGUCGUAAAGCCCUGUCGAGAGGGAAGAAUUGCAUUUAGGUUAAUAGCCUAAUUGUUUGACGGUACCUCCAAAGGAAGCACCGGCUAACUCCGUGCCAGCAGCCGCGGUAAUACGGAGGGUGCAUGCGUUGUUCGGAAUCACUGGGCGUAAAGGGCGUGUAGGCGGCUGAGUAAGUCAGGUGUGAAAUCCCUCGGCUCAACCGAGGAAGUGCAUUUGAUACUGCUCAUCUUGAGUACUGGAGAGGGAGAUGGAACUCCCGGUGUAGAGGUGAAAUUCGUAGAUAUCGGGAGGAACACCAGUGGCGAAGGCGAUCUCCUGGACAGAUACUGACGCUAAGGCGCGAAAGCGUGGGGAGCAAACAGGAUUAGAUACCCGCGUAGUC